GACGAACGCUGGCGGCGUGCUUAACACAUGCAAGUCGAACGGAAAGGCCCCUUUGGGGGUACUCGAGUGGCGAACGGGUGAGUAACACGUGAGUAACCUGCCCUUGACUUCGGGAUAACUUCAGGAAACUGGGGCUAAUACCGGAUAGGAAUCCUUGCUGCAUGGUGGGGGUUGGAAAGCUUCGGCGGUUUUGGAUGGACUCGCGGCUUAUCAGCUUGUUGGUGGGGUAGUGGCUUACCAAGGCUUUGACGGGUAGCCGGCCUGGGGGGGCGACCGGCCACCCUGGGACCUAGGGAAGGCCCCAGCGGCUACGGGAGGCAACAGUGGGGAAUAUUGCACAAGGGGCGGAAGGCGGGUGCAGCAACGCCGCGUGCGGGAUGGCGGCCUUCGGGUUGUAAACCGCUUUCAGCAGGGGCCAAGCUUGUGGUGACGGUACCUGCAGAAGAAGCACCGGCUAACUACGUG
rnacentral:rRNA from 1 species